AGUCCGAUAGCAAACAAGUACCGUGAGGGAAAAUUGAAAAGAACUUUGAAGAGAGAGUUCAAGAGUACGUGAAACCGUCUAGCGGUAAAGAGAGGGGUUCUCGAAGUUUCUGAGGGGGACUCAACCUUGGUGGYGCUUGGCCUGGAUGUAUUUGAUCAGCAAUGACUUUGCAUUUAGUCCCCAGUGCCUCCCGGACGCACUUUCUCCUCAGUUUACGGCAGGAACCGUUAGGAGCGGACUGAAGGCUCAGGGUGAAGUUGUCGGUUAUGCUGGCAGCCCUUGGUGUCCUAGCUUCGCAUCUGACGGGUAUGUAAGCAAACUCGUAUAGCGAGCAAUUGUCUAUUGCGGUUUGCAUCUCUCUGCCGAGUAGGUCGGCGGCCCCUCUCACCCGUCUUGAAACACGGAC
rnacentral:rRNA from 1 species